AUGGGAGAGACUCCAGGAAGCGGAUGUGAUUUUAUGGGCGAGGGACCAGGGAACUGGGCUGGAGGCUUGGGAGGAGGCCGAUUUCUCCUAUGAUUGGCUGGGAGAUUUGCGCUAGGUUGCGCCUCUGAGAACCCAUGUCUGGCGUUUCAUUUUCGUUAUUUACUGUGUUUGCAUGAGCGGUACAGGCACCCUUUGAAGCCAAAAAGCAGACAGUUCAAGACAUUGAAAUUAUUCAGGCUACUGCCGUAGGGAGAGCGCCCCGGAAGUGGAAACCACACUGUCGGGACUCAUCAUGUGUGAACAUGGAGUUUGGAAUUGUGGCCCCAGGUUCAGUACCAUGAAGUGAUGUGGGCUGAGGACCUGCCUCACAGCUGGUUCUUCCUGCCAUAGAGUGAACUGUGAGGCUUAGCUUCAUUUCAGCUCCUAGCAUUGCACACCUGAAUAUGAACGGAAGUGUCUGCUUUGGACAUAUGGACAAUAAAAGAGAAAAGACGGAAAUGGCCCUGGUCCUGCCACCAUCAGCCCAAGCCCAAACCCUGGCUGGAGGGUAGACUGGACUCCCACUGUCCUGGCACGCUGGCCUCCACAUUGAUGUGCCUCUAACAUGGCACAGUGUGAAUGGCUCUCCCUGGAGCCUGGUUGUUGAUGACCUACUGUGUGCUACUCAUGUACAGUGUUGAUUUCCCAAAGACCCAGAGAGGUAAGUAUCAAACUCCCAUCUACAGAUAAGGAACCAAGCUGAAAGAGGUCAGGGCACUGAGGCAGAAAAGGCUGGAUCUGGGACUCACACGCGGGUUCUGUCAGACUCCAAAGCCAGGCCUCUUUAAACUCACGACAACGUACUUUGCUUAUGCUCCCCUCGCUGAGCUGCAGAUAUUCCAUGAUGGGACAGUCAGCCUGGUCCCAACACCACGUCUACCUGUGAGAUCCAGGCCCCUAGCAGGGCAAAGCCAUCCUGAAAAGUUCUAACACAGUCCACAGGAGCUGCCCUGGCGUCCCUUGUCUUACAGCUACCAGUCAAGUUUAGCUUCUAGGCCUCUUUGCCCUAUCACAGAGGCGCUUUGCCCUAUCACAGAGACACUUGCAAUCCACCCCCGCCCUAAAUUACAUCUCCAUCAGCCUCACUUUAUUUAACAGAUAAGAAGAAUCUAGAGGCAAACAGCAGAGGCAGCGUUAGUAGCUGCAACGCAGCUGUGGAGUUGAUCAGACUCUAAAUGUGGUAUGGAAAUCAACAGACUGAGAAUGGGAAUGUAGUUCCUCCUGUUGUUCAGCUGUCUGGACUGUAAGCUGUGCAGAAUCAAAGUGCCUGCCGCACAAACCUCCCCUCUUCUGAAGAGUCUGCCCUGACCCAACCCUUGCGCACACACAUCCCUCAGGGGAGGGUAGGGUGGUCUCCUGUGUGCUCCUAGGGGACCGUGGGUUGAAUUCUGCCAUGGCUCUCCUUACCCCCCAAGUGUGGGGGUCAUCUGCCAGCAAGCAUACAGCUAAAACCUCCCCCUGUCCCCAGAGUGUCCGGUCAGCACUUCAGAACAAGUUUAUUCGGUUAAUAAAGGAAUUUCACCCAGAGUACUUGGUCAGUAAUGGCUAUGAUGGUAGCAGCUCUGUGUGCAUUAGGAAUGCUUCAGGAGAAUCGAGUGAACAGAGGACAUCUGUGCAAUGAGAUUCUCCUCCCCUGGAGUUGGGGAGGAGGGUUGUAACUUUCCUCUCUUUCCUAAUUCCAGAACUCCUAGUAAAAGAGGCUACAAAAUUAUUUAUUUUAGAUGGAGACUAGCUCUGUCACCCAGGCUGGAGUGCAGUGGCACAAUCUCAGCUCACUGCAUUCUCCACCUCCUGGGAUCAAGUGAUUCUUGUGCCUCAGCCACCCAAGUAGCUGGGAUUACAGGUGUGCGUCACUGCACCUGGGAUUUUUUUUUUUCAUAUUUUUAGUAGAAAUGGGGCUUCACCAUAUUGGCCAGGCUGUUCUUGAACUCCUGACCUCAAGUGAUCUGCCCGCCUUGCCCUCCCAAAGUCCUGGGAUUACAGGCAUGAGCCACUGCACCCUGCCAGAAUUUUUAAAUAUGUCUUGGCCAGUAUGUUACUCCAUGUGGCCUCCCAGUGGGACUGCAGUGAUGGGUUUACCAAAAUGUCAGAGUACCCUAGGGCAAGUGCAUGUGGGCCACCCCCAGGGUCUGUAGGGAAAAACGACUAUUGAUUGGGUUCAGGCGUCCUAAUUGAGUAUGUGGUUCUGUGGCUGCAACACAGAUGUCCACAGCGACAAGGACAUGAACACCUGGAUGAACGCGUCUGUCAAGUCCGGGUGGGCUGCAUCAGCGCCUUUGCCUGUCCUAUCUCUUGCCUAAGCCCUCCUGGUUCUGACUGCUCCUGCCUGGGUCCCUCCUUCGCCUGAACUCUGCAGGCUGCACAGACAUGCUUUCUGCAUCUGUGGCCCUUCAUUGUCCCUUUCCGUGUCCCUGGCAGAGCAGAAGCUUACCUGGCCCGACAGGAUCCCGUCCUUAUCACCGUGGCACCUCCAGCCUUCUGUUCAGCUUCCUGCUGGUGUGCUAGUGUCCUUGUGGCAUCUGCGUCAUGUUGGAACGACUCAGCCUCUGACUUUUUUCCAACUGUUCCCUCUGUCUGGAAGGCCUUCACCACAGAUAUCUACUUGACUGACUCCUCCCCCUUCAUAUCUUUGUCAAAUUGUCACCUUCUCAACCCAGCCUACCCUAGUCACUGUCAUAAUUUACCUGCAGCUAACCCAGUUCCUCCCCCAAUUCCCAAUCCCUGUACCAUGAUCUGUAUAUGUUUUCUUUUUUAGUACAGCCCCCAUCAUCUUUGUAAACUAAAAAUAAAAUUCUAAGCCCCACUCCCCAACCAUCUGAAUGGACCCUUCCUCUCGGCCAAGGCUAUUCCAAAGUUAGCCUGAAAAAGUACUUCAGGCCAUGAUGGGAAGGGUGGGUCAGACAUGUGUCGUUACACCCUUCUCCCUAUGGAAUUCAGGCACAACUGACCAGCAUUUAUGUUAAGGCAGAGAUCUUAAGACUGUGGCAAUAAGACACCAAGUUCCAGCCUGACUAGUAUAGCAUCACAUAACAAAUAGGCCCUGAAAGAAGUCAAAGUGUUUCACCCAACGAUAUAUUUCUUUGACACAUUUUGAAAUAGGCCUACAAAGCCAUCUCUUGUGAGGAAGUCUACAUUCUGUAGAGAAUCCCUUUCCCUUUCCAGGUCUUUUUCCUGGUCUAGGAGAGAAUUAGCUAAGAGUCCAGCAACUUUUAAGGUCUGAUAAGAAAUAUUUACAGUCUAUUCUCUCUGAAGCUGGCUACCUCGGGACUUCAUUGGCAUAAUAAGAACCUUGAUCUCCACAACCCCUUAUCUUAACCCAGACACUCCCUCCUAUGGAUUGGAGGUCUUUAGAUAAACUCAAGCAAUUGCCAAUCAGAAGAUCUUUGAAUCCACUUAUGACCUGUAAGACCCCACCGCCCCCCCACCGCCCGCCAACUUGUAGUUGUCCCGCCUUUUCAGAACGAACCAAUGUAUGUUGUACAUGCAUUGAUUGAUGUCUUAUGUCUCCCUAAAGUGUAUAAAGCGAAGCUGUACCCUGACGACCUUGGGGAUGUUUCGUCAGGACCUCCUGAGGUUGUAUCAGGGGCACGUCCUUAACCUUGGCAAAAUAAACUUCUAAAUUGAUUGA